AUUGAACGCUGGCGGCAUGCCUUACACAUGCAAGUCGAACGGCAGCACGGGAGCAAUCCUGGUGGCGAGUGGCGAACGGGUGAGUAAUAUAUCGGAACGUACCCAAGAGUGGGGGAUAACGUAGCGAAAGUUACGCUAAUACCGCAUACGAUCUAAGGAUGAAAGCAGGGGACCGCAAGGCCUUGUGCUCCUGGAGCGGCCGAUAUCUGAUUAGCUAGUUGGUGGGUAAAGGCCUACCAAGGCAUCGAUCAGUAGCUGGUCUGAGAGGACGACCAGCCACACUGGGACUGAGACACGGCCCAGACUCCUACGGAGGCAGCAGUGGGGAGUUUUGGACAAUGGGGGCAACCCUGAUCCAGCAAUGCCGCGUGAGUGAAGAAGGCCUUCGGGUUGUAAAGG
rnacentral:rRNA from 1 species